CAAAGCAUAGGAUUCUGCUGAUGAAUCUCAGUAAGUGAAAGUAAAAAAGAUGUAUGUUGCACAGGCAUGUGAACCAAAUAUUACUGUUGGAGUCAUGUGGGAGGUGUUUGAACAUUAUUCAUGAGGUUAUGUGAGAGAUGUUUGUGAACCAAGCAUUACUGUUGAGGCUAUAUGAGAGAUGUUUGUGAACCAAACAUUACUGUUGAGGUAAUGUGAGACAUGUUUUUCGAACAAACAUUGCACUUGAGGUAAUGUGAGAGAUGUUUGUGAACCAAACAUUACUGUUGAGGCUAUGUGAGAGAUGUUUGUGAACCAAACAUUACUGUUGAGGCUAUAUGAGAGAUGUUUGUGAACCAAACAUUACUGUUGAGGUAAUGUGAGAC